rnacentral:rRNA from 1 species
UACUGCGGGUGCAAGCGUUACUCGGAAUCACUGGGCGUAAAGGAUGCGUAGGCUGGAAAUCAAGUCGAGAGUGAAAUCCAACGGCUCAACCGUUGAACUGCUCUCGAAACUGGUUACCUAGAAUAUGGGAGAGGUAGAUGGAAUUAGUGGUGUAGGGGUAAAAUCCGUAGAUAUCACUAGGAAUAACGAUUGCGAAGGCGAUCUAAUGGAACACUAUUGAAGCUGAGGCAUGCAAGCGUGGGGAGCACACAGGAUUAGAUACCACCGUAGUCC